rnacentral:rRNA from 1 species
CCUACGGGAGGCAGCAGUGGGGAAUUUUGGACAAUGGGCGCAAGCCUGAUCUAGCCAUGCCGCGUGAGUGAAGAAGGCCUUCGGGUUGUAAAGCUCUUUCGGCAGGAACGAAAUGGUUCGUGCUAAUACCACGGACUGAUGACGGUACCUGAAGAAGAAGCACCGGCUAACUACGUGCCAGCAGCCGCGGUAAUACGUAGGGUGCAGGCGUUAAUCGGAAUUACUGGGCGUAAAGCGUGCGCAGGCGGUUUCUUAAGUCAGAUGUGAAAGCCCCGGGCUUAACCUGGGAACUGCGUUUGAAACUGGGAGACUUGAGUGUGGCAGAGGGGGGUGGAAUUCCACGUGUAGCAGUGAAAUGCGUAGAUAUGUGGAGGAACACCGAUGGCGAAGGCAGCCCCCUGGGUUAACACUGACGCUCAUGCACGAAAGCGUGGGGAGCAAACAGGAUUAGAUACCCUGGUAGUCCACGCCCUAAACUAUGUCAACUGGUUGUCGGGGGAUUAACUCCCUUGGUAACGAAGCUAACGCGUGAAGUUGACCGCCUGGGGAGUACGGCCGCAAGGUUAAAACUCAAAGGAAUUGACGGCUGAGAGNGCGAGACGACGACGAGGGAGAGG